UUUUCAAUCUUCAAUGUACUGUCUAGUGUAGGCUUUAUCCAUUGAGCUCUUCGCAUCAUUUUUUGCUCUUGCUGUCACUCGCUAAACUAUCGCACGCGUUCCUCGUCCAGCUUUUCCCCUCCCUUCUCCAGCUGUCUCGGUGCAAAGUCUCGAUCGUAAAAUCAGCAUAAUUCUUGCUAUUCAUUCCUGAGAAACGUGCAUCACGAUAACCCAACAUAAUUAGGGCGAAGCGAGUAAAUACGGCGAAAUAAUACUCAGGAAGUUUCAAUAGCAAUAUAAAAAAAUGGCAUUUCGCGAGUUAGUAGAAGGAGACUGUGGAGGUCCCAGCUCGUUAAUGCGCCUUACAUCACAUUAUGUACAAGAUCAUGGUUUUAAAGAGGAAGGAAUUCACCAGCCAUUUAGUCCAGCUGAGACUUUUCAAACACAAGAUGCGGAUCGGUUAGUUCAACAAUUCUUAGAAGAACCUGCUUGUCCACAAACGUUUCGGAUGGACAAUUUACUACAAGAAAUGAGAGAAAUUGAUCAAAAUAUUCAUCCCCCGAGAGCAGCACCUGGAGUCGUCAAAGAAUUAAGUGAUCUAAACACAGCUUGGGAAAAUCUAUGUUUUAAAACUGAUAAGCAAUUUGAAGAACUUCAUGUGGAUAAUAUAUGGAAUACAUCUUUAAUACAACAACACACUCAGGAAGAAAACACACAGUUUCUUGAAACUCAUAAACUUGGUCUAGAUUCAAAAUGGAUGGAAGAAUAUUUAGAACAUAGCAUAAACAGUGCACAAGAUAAUGUUGAUAAAGACAAUGAAGCUCAAAUCAUAAAAGAUGAAGAUCCGAAUUAUGCAUAUUCAAGGUUUAUGAAAUUUAUGAAACAAGAAGGUGAUAUUCCAAUAGAAAGCACUCGAACAGAAACAGCUAAUUUGGAUGAUCCAAUUGAAGAAUGGAUAGAGCAAUAUCAUGCAGAUCAACAAAAAACAAAAGAUAGUUCAAUUAAUAACAUUAAUUAUGACAGUACAGUCUUGAACAAAGUAGAAGAAGAAUUAGAAGCUGCGGGUACAUGGAUAGACGAAUUUGUAAAGGAAAAUCCAUCCUCAGAACACAUACAUCCAAAGUCAUUAUGGAAACAGUUUCAAGACGAAUGGGAUAAAGUAUCUGCAGAUGGGCUCUCCUCUACACAUCCAUGGGUAUCAGAGUUUGACACAUAUUACGAUCCAUUUAACAAGGAAUAUGAAUUUUGUGAAACAAAUCCUAUGAAGGAUUUACCAAAUGCAUUGGCAGAAGGCAAGAAACGAUUAGAAGCGGGAGAUUUACCAAGUGCUGUACUCUGUUUUGAAGCAGCUGUUCAACAGGAUGAAAAUAAUGUUGAAGCGUGGCUACUCCUUGGUAAAACACAAGCUGAAAACGAGCAAGAUCCUUUGGCUAUCUCCGCUUUAAAUCGUUGUCUGUGCUUGGAACCAUGUAACAAUGUUGCUCUCAUGGCAUUAGCAGCUUCUUAUGCAAAUGAAUCCUAUCAGAAGCAAGCUUGCCUAACAUUGAAGGAGUGGUUACUAAAGAAUGAAAAAUAUAAACAUCUAUCAGUUCCAGAGUCUGAUCUUACAAGAGAAGAACAUCCGACUUUCAGUGUAUCCACCUUAUUAUAUGAUAAAGUAUAUGAUGAAGUGAAAGAUUUAUAUAUUCAAGCAGCAAGAAUGAAUCCCCGAGAUGAAAUUGAUCCGGAUAUACAAUGUGGACUAGGUAUACUGUUUAAUUUGUCGAGUGAUUACAACAAAGCUGUGGAUUGUUUCCAAGCAGCAUUGCAAGUACGCCCUGAUGAUUCCAGAUUAUGGAAUAGAUUGGGUGCCACUCUCGCUAAUGGCCAGCGAUCGGCAGAAGCUGUAAACGCGUAUCAUCGUGCCUUAGAGCUAUCGCCCGGAUUUAUUCGAGCACGUUACAAUCUUGGCAUAUCUUGUGUUAAUCUGGGAGUAUAUAAAGAAGCAGGUGAGCACCUCUUGACAGCAUUAAAUCAACAAGCUGCAGGAAGAGGCCCACAGGCCAGCAAUGUAUCUCCUAAAGCAAUGUCAAACACAAUAUGGUCCACGUUAAGAUUAGUUAUAUCAUUGAUGCAUAAAUAUGAAUUGAUGGAAGCUGUAGAAAACAGAGAUCUAUCCAAGUUAAAUAAGGAAUUUGAAAUCAUAUAAAUGGAUGCAGCUAUAUAAUGAAUUCCACAAUAUGAUUCAUUUUUUAUAUAAAUUAUUUCGUGCACAGGCCUAAUAAUGAUUAUUGAUAAUAAUUAUUGUUUAUCCUGUUAAGGAUAAAGAUUGCAAACAAGAUGUAAAGAAGAUCUAAACAAUUGCUGUAUUAUGUAUGUAUUUUUUUAUCUUAUAAUGAAUUAUAAAUAUUAUUGAUCAAUUUUAACAUAAUUAGAUUUACAAUAAAGAAGAAAUAAUUCCUAAAGGC